GAUGAACGCUGGCGGCGUGCCUAAUACAUGCAAGUCGAGCGAACAGACGAGGAGCUUGCUCCUCUGACGUUAGCGGCGGACGGGUGAGUAACACGUGGAUAACCUACCUAUAAGACUGGGAUAACUUCGGGAAACCGGAGCUAAUACCGGAUAAUAUAUUGAACCGCAUGGUUCUAUAGUGAAAGACGGUUUUGCUGUCACUUAUAGAUGGAUCCGCGCCGCAUUAGCUAGUUGGUAAGGUAACGGCUUACCAAGGCAACGAUGCGUAGCCGACCUGAGAGGGUGAUCGGCCACACUGGAACUGAGACACGGUCCAGACUCCUACGGGAGGCAGCAGUAGGGAAUCUUCCGCAAUGGGCGAAAGCCUGACGGAGCAACGCCGCGUGAGUGAUGAAGGUCUUCGGCUCGUAAAACUCUGUUAUUAGGGAAGAACAAAUGUGUAAGUAACUAUGCACGUCUUGACGGUACCUAAUCAGAAAGCCACGGCUAACUACGUG
rnacentral:rRNA from 1 species